rnacentral:rRNA from 1 species
AUUGAACGCUGGCGGCAGGCCUAACACAUGCAAGUCGAACGAGUGGCGGACGGGUGAGUAAUGUCUGGGAAACUGCCCGAUGGAGGGGGAUAACUCCUGGAAACGGUAGCUAAUACCGCAUACCAUCGGAUGUGCCCAUAUGGGAUUAGCUAGUCGGUGGGGUAACGGCUCACCUAGGCGACGAUCCCUAGCUGGUCUGCGAGUAUGACAAGAAAGACGGGAACUGAGACACGGGCCGGAGUCCUACGGGAGGCAGCAGUGGGGAAUAUUAGAGAAUGGGGGCAAGCCUGAUGGAGCCAUGCCGCGUGUAUGAAGAAGGCGUUGGGGUUGGAAAGGACUUUGAGCGUGGAGGCGUUACUCGCAGAAGAAGCACCGGCUAACUCCGUGCCAGCAGCCGCGGUAAUUC